GCUAUAGCUCAGUUGGUAGAGUGUUUGCCUCAAAUGCACAAGGUCCUGGGUUCAAUCCCUAGCACCA
rnacentral:tRNA from 1 species